GGUUAGAAAAUACCCAAUUCAUUAUUAACAAAUUUAUAUACCAUAUCAACCCUAACUUAUUCUAAACGAUUUCUCCUUCUCUAAAACGUAAACCCUAACCUCCAACUCGUGUAAACCUCUUUCCUAAUUGUGGAUUCAAGCAAGAACACAACCUAGGGAUUGGAACGUGAACUCGCGAUAUCCCCUUCAAUUCUUCAUCAGGCGAGAUAGUUCUUGUGUCAAUUCCACUUAAUUUUUCAAGAUAUACAAAACCUCUCUAUCAAUUUCUGUGCCAGAGGGCAUCCGAAUUAAAUUCUUGUAUUUUUACUUUUUUUAGUGUUCUUAAAUGUAGAAUUUUGGGGCUUUUGAUUUGAGAAUGUUGUUUGAUGAAAUUAAAAGUUGUUUACUGAUCUGAACCAUAUUAGAAUAGGUUUUGUAAUUUUUGAGAAUUUUUAGUCAUGUUUUAAAUAUAUUACAUAUUUUAAAUCAUGAUUUUUCCAAGAAAUAUAUUAAAUAUGGAUAUUUAGUAAUGAAUUUCAUAUUUAAUGAUAGUAUGUCUUGUAAUUACAAUGUUAACCUAAAUUAUGCAUUUUUCUUAAAAUUAUUUGCGAAGGUAUAUUAUCGGAAAAGCUUCUAACCGUCCAAGAGGUGAUGGUCAUUGAUCUCAUCCGGAUCUUUUGGGAUCUAGGAAACAAUGGUGAAACAAGAUGUACCUUGCAAAUGAUAGAAUUAACUAAAUAAUUAAUUUGCGUCGAAAUUAAUAAAUAUAUUUUCAUACAAAAGUCCCCAAAUUGUAGGAUUUAAUUUUGUAAACUCUUGAUGGUUGUUUUGUAUUUUGUUUAUGUUUCGAGGGUAAUCUUGUCAUUUGGAGUCUUCCCAUUUUUCGUGCGGUAUUUUGUGGAUCGAAGCUAUGCAAACACAUGUGCAGGUAAAAUGUUGUUACGCUUCAUCUCAGCAAUCAGAUAAUAGUAGCGUUCUAUCAACCGGUGAAAUGUCUCUCCUUUAACAACUGUGAAAAUAUCGAACUCCUUUCUUUAUCAAACCAACUUUACUCUUGUACAUGUCGACAUUUCCUCUGUACUUGUCGAAUAAUGCUAUCCAAAGUGAUUGAGUUGUUCCUUUGUGCCGAAGCAAAUGCAAGAUUCACUCUUAUAGCAUAUAUCAAAUAUUAACCAUA